rnacentral:rRNA from 1 species
CCUACGGGAGGCAGCAGUGAGGAAUAUUGGUCAAUGGACGAGAGUCUGAACCAGCCAAGUAGCGUGAAGGAUGACUGCCCUAUGGGUUGUAAACUUCUUUUAUAUGGGAAUAAAAUGUUCCACGUGUGGGAUUUUGUAUGUACCAUAUGAAUAAGGAUCGGCUAACUCCGUGCCAGCAGCCGCGGUAAUACGGAGGAUCCGAGCGUUAUCCGGAUUUAUUGGGUUUACAGGGAGCGUAGGUGGAUUGUUAAGUCAGUUGUGAAAGUUUGCGGCUCAACCGUAAAAUUGCAGUUGAAACUGGCAGUCUUGAGUACAGUAGAGGUGGGCGGAAUUCGUGGUGUAGCGGUGAAAUGCUUAGAUAUCACGAAGAACUCCGAUUGCGAAGGCAGUUCACUGGACUGCAACUGACACUGAGGCUCGAAAGUGUGGGUAUCAAACAGGAUUAGAUACCCGAGUAGUC